rnacentral:rRNA from 1 species
ACUUUACAAUUUAUCUUUGCUUCGUGAAUUUUCGUUUAAAUUGAGUAAAAUAUAUUAUUGUUGGGUUGGGGCGACUAUUAUAUAAUUUUUAAUAACUGUAAGUUAAAGAAAUAAGUUUAUUUAGUUADUUGAUCCUUUAAUAAAGAUUAAAAGAUUAAGUU